GGGCCCGCACAAGCGGUGGAGCAUGUGGUUUAAUUCGAUGAUACGCGAGGAACCUUACCAGGGCUUAAAUGUAGUGGGACAGGUCUAGAGAUAGACCCUUCUUCGGACUCAUUACAAGGUGCUGCAUGGUUGUCGUCAGCUCGUGCCGUGAGGUGUCAGGUUAAGUCCUAUAACGAGCGCAACCCCUAUCGUUAGUUGCCAGCGGGUAAUGCCGGGAACUCUAGCGAAACUGCCGGUGCAAACCGAGAGGAAGGUGGGGAUGACGUCAAAUCAUCACGGCCCUUACGUCCUGGGCCACACACGUGCUACAAUGGCCGGUACAGAGAGCAGCCACUACGCGAGUAGGAGCGAAUCUACAAACACUAUCUCAGUUCGGAUCGGAGUCUGCAACUCGACUCCGUG
rnacentral:rRNA from 1 species